rnacentral:rRNA from 1 species
GAAUUUUGGACAAUGGGCGAAAGCCUGAUCCAGCAAUGCCGCGUGCAGGAUGAAGGCCUUCGGGUUGUAAACUGCUUUUGUACGGAACGAAAAGCUUUGGGUUAAUACCCUCAAGUCAUGACGGUAACGGUAGAAUACGCACCGGACAAAUACGUGCCAGCAGCCCCGGUAAUACGUAGGGUGCAAGCGUUAAUCGGAAUUACUGGGGGUAAAGCGUGCGCAGGCGGUUUUGUAAGACAGAGGUGAAAUCCCCGGGCUCAACCUGGGAACUGCCUGUGUGACUGCAAGGCUAGAGUACGGCAGAGGGGGGUGGAAUUCCGCGUGUAGCAGUGAAAUGCGUAGAUAUGCGGAGGAACACCGAUGGCGAAGGCAACCCCCUGGGCCUGUACUGACGCUCAUGCACGAAAGCGUGGGGAGCAAACA